rnacentral:rRNA from 1 species
AGCUUUAAGAUAGAUAUUUAAAGUUAGACCUGCCCAGUGUAAAAUGAAUAUAUAAAUGGCCGCGGUACCCUGACCGUGCUAAGGUAGCGCAAUAAAUUGGUUUUUAAUUGGAGCCACGUAUGAAUGGAGUUACGGAGUUUUUCUGUCUCUUUACUAUUAUAUUGAAUUUACUAUGUAGGUGAAAAAGCCUGCAACGUGAAAAAAGACGAGAAGACCCUUAGAAUUUUUUUUCGAAGCAGUUUGGUUGGGGCAACAUGGGAACAUAAAAAACAAAUCGAAUAUAUUAGAGGUGAAUAAAUUACCUUAGGGAUAACAGCAUAAUUUAAUAAAUAAGUUUGUGACCUCGAUGUUGGACUGGGAAACUAAAAGGUUAGCCGCCUUUUAGGCAAGUUCUGUUCGAACUAUGAUUCCC